GGUGGCUCAAUGGUAGAGCACUUGCCUCGCAUGCACGAGGCCCUGGGUUCAAUUCCUCAGCACCA
rnacentral:tRNA from 1 species